rnacentral:lncRNA from 12 species
AUUGGUGGAAUGUUCUGUACAGCAUCAUGGAGAAUUGGAUGCUAUUGCCACCAAAGACAUUGAAGAGAAGCAACACAGGUAAGUACGCUCAUCUCUCUAUACUCAUUUUCUUUAUUUAAAU